AGUGAACGCUGGCGGUAGGCCUAACACAUGCAAGUCGAACGGCAGCACAGUAAGAGCUUGCUCUUACGGGUGGCGAGUGGCGGGCGGGUGAGGAAUACAUCGGAAUCUACUUUUUCGUGGGGGAUAACGUAGGGAAACUUACGCUAAUACCGCAUACGACCUACGGGUGAAAGCAGGGGAUCUUCGGACCUUGCGCGAUUGAAUGAGCCGAUGUCGGAUUAGCUGGUUGGCGGGGUAAAGGCCCACCAAGGCGACGAUCCGUAGCUGGUCUGAGAGGAUGAUCAGCCACACUGGAACUGAGACACGGUCCAGACUCCUACGGGAGGCAGCAGUGGGGAAUAUUGGACAAUGGGCGCAAGCCUGAUCCAGCCAUACCGCGUGGGUGAAGAAGGCCUUCGGGUUGUAAAGCCCUUUUGUUGGGAAAGAAAAGUAGCAGGUUAAUACCCCGCUGUUCUGACGGUACCCAAAGAAUAAGCACCGGCUAACUUCGUG
rnacentral:rRNA from 1 species